AUAUAAAAAAGAAAACAAAGGCGCCCUAAGCUGCAAUCUCUCUUUAGAAAUAUUUUGUCUUCAAUAAGUUGUCAAUUCUGUCAAUCAAGGGAGAUAUAGCCAAACUGUUGAAACACACAUGCUAUGAAAUACAAGAAGAUCAAGCAUCCAAAUCUUGACUUGAAACUAAACAAAUCACCAACUAGGGUUACAUCACAAAGAGCAGAAGCUUUCAUGGAAAGAAUAUCAUCACCUGCAAGCUCUUGUGUGUCUCGGGAACCGAGCCCCGACGACGACGAGAAGUACUCAGAGAAGACUAACAUGUCCAUCAUGCUUGUGGGUUGCCCUAGAUGCUUAAUGUAUAUCAUCAUAUUAGAAGAGAAUCCAAAAUGUCCCAAAUGCAAGAGCACUGUCUUGCUUGAUUUUUUCAAGGAGGAAAGGAUCAAGAAUUCAAAGACUUGAAAUUAAGAAAAUGUCAUGAUCUUCUUUUGUGUGGUGAGCUAUGUUGUUCAGAUUCUUUAAAAUAAUUGUUGUGUGCAUAUCGGAUCUUUCAUAAACAAUACAUUUUAGAGAAUUCGAAUACGUAUGUGACAACAGUUUUUGAAGAGUCCGACAAGUGUGUGAUUGGGGUGAGGUGUUGGGAUGCUAUUGUUUGCUAAUUACAUAGUGUUGGGUUUUUUAAGUUGACAGCUGUUGAGGUCUCUAAUGGAUUGAGAGUGACUAUUUAUGAAGUUUGUUUUAUUAUAA